CAGUGGCGGACGGGUGCGUAACACGUGAGGAACAUGACCUUCGGCGGGGGAUAGCCGGCCCAACGGCCGGGUAAUACCGCGUACGACCUUCUGGGGACAUCCCUGGAUGGUGAAAGCAGCAAUGCGCCGACGGAGUGCCUCGCGGCCUAUCAGCUAGUUGGUGAGGUAACGGCUCACCAAGACGACGACGGGUAGCUGGUCUGAGAGGAUGGCCAGCCACAUUGGGACUGAGACACGGCCCAGACUCCUACGGGAGGCAGCAGUGGGGAAUAUUGCGCAAUGGACGAAAGUCUGACGCAGCGACGCCGCGUGUGGGAUGACGGUCUUCGGAUUGUAAACCACUGUCGGGAGGGACGAAUACGCCGCAAGGCGGGUGACGGUACCUCCAA
rnacentral:rRNA from 1 species